GGGAGGGGCGCACACAGUGGGGAGGGGCGCACACAGCCGGGAGGGGCGCACACAGCCCGGAGGGACGCACACAGCCGGGAGGGGGCUCACACAGCCAGGAGGGGACCACGCAGACCUGGCACUUGGGCUCAACGGUGGAGACGGGGCACUGGCUGGGCCACCUGUCCUGUGGAUUUGGGCGGGGCCAACAGUCUGCGUUGGGAACUCAGCGAUUCCAGGGCCCCCUCUGCCUCCCAGAGAUGAAAGGGGAAGCCACUGUGGGAGCUUGGUCUAAGGUGGCAUGAAGAGGGCAGCUACUGGAGCUGGCCUGCAGCUCUAGCGCUGGAAAGCCCUGGGGAGGCAGAAGGAAGGGCCAGAUUUGGGAGCAUGCAGACAGGCUGUCCCCCAAGACUGAGACUCUCCACCACCUGGAAACAACUUGCCGAGGGGCAAGGUGGGCUCCGGGCACCACUUGGUACACCUGCUGUGGCCCCUGGCGGUGCUGGGCUUCCCCUCCCUGGCCCUACCCUGCCCCAGCCCAGCACUUACUGGGGGAAGACCAGGCACUCCGGUUUGGAGGGGAAGCACUGGAGGCUUUGGUGUGUCUAGAGGGCAGGGUCACCUGGAAGGGGAGGGUCUACUCCUUGGGAGUACGGAUGGCCACAUCCAAUCUUUGCAGGGCACCCCUGCCAGGUCUGGAGGCCACCAUCUGGCGGCGUGAAGCAGGCAUUGCAAGUGGACGGACGCCCAUGCUCAGGGCACGGUCAGGGUGUGUGUACACACAAGCCUGCAGUCUGCCGAGGCGAUCGUGCAUUUGUGUAUGUUUGAGGGGGUACGCAUUUGUGCACAUGCUUCUUUGUACUGAUGAAUGUGUGUGCAUUGCUCUGUGGACAUGGUGUGUAUGUGUGUGUGUGUGCGUGCAUAUCUGUAGUAUGGAAAUAGAGCACUGUGUGCUUGCUUGUGUGUAGGGUGGGUGUGUGCAGAUAUUCGCAUGGCUCUGUGUGUUCAUAUCUGUAUGCUGUAUGUACACAUGUACAAGUGUGUGCUUUUGUAUGUGAGUAGCUAAGAAUAAUGAAUGGUGGGCGACACACGUGGACUUUGUGGGUGGGGAGAGUACAUGUGGAUGUACAUGUAUGUUUGUGAUAAGCACACACAAGUAUGAGUGACAUCUGUCUCUCACCAGAAGGGGUGUCGCCUCCCCAUGUUUAAGAGCAAGUGAUGAGGGUAGUGUCCGAUAUUGGCUGUGGCAGGGCGGCCCAAGGCCAAUCCUCACAGCCCAGCAGUCUGGCUUCAGUCUGCUCUCCCUCCCCGUCUUCCUCCUGGGCACACUCACCACAUGGAGGGUGCUGGCCCUU
rnacentral:lncRNA from 10 species